CCCCACUAUAAUUUUGUUGUUGUCAUUUUUUUGAGGCAGAGUUUCUCUGUGUAACUGCCCUGGCUGUUCGGAAACUCGCUUUCGGGCUGGGCUUGAACUCAUGUAGAUCCAUCUGCCUUUGCCUCCCGAGUGCUGGGAUCAAAGGUAUGCACCACUGUUGUGAGCAAGAAAGUAGGUACGUGUAGUGAGUAUAGCAAAAGUUGUAUUUUAUUAUACUGGAGGGUCAUCACAUAAUAUUCAUGCUGUAAGUUCCUAACCAUAGUCCUAAGCCUAUCUCCCUAAGGCUGGAUGUAUCUUAGCUGAAGGUCAGGACUAGUCUCUAACAGAAGUCUUCAAUUCAAGGGCCACGGUCCUGGGGGAGACUCCAGCCACAGAGCAAAUCAAGGUAGCGUCUUUUCAGAUGUAUAAAGUAUUUUUCUUGGUCUCUGCUUAUAUCUGUCCAGUGGGCAUCAUGAUGUUCUAGGCCUGUGCCUGGUUGUCUUGAGUGAGUGAUGUCACCGAAUUCUAGUUAUGAACCCAGCCUUGGGUGUAGUGGGGAUCCUGACUAACCUGUGUUUACCUGUCUAAAGGCAUUUGUUCUGCUCAUUACAGCCACCAGACCAAACUCCUUUUCCUUAAAAAAAAUACUUUUUCUAUCAGGGUGUAGGUGUACACCUUUAAUUCAAACAGAAGCAAAUGGAUCUCUGUGAGUCUGGGGUCAGCUUGGUCCACAUAGUGAGUUCCAGAAUAGCAAGAAAAAAUUAUUUCAGUCUUGUAGGGGCUGCAGUUGUCAUGCUGGACAGACAGACAGACAAACAAACUAAAACCAACCCAACAUAUCCACUCCUUUAGAAUACCCCAGAUUGAGGCUGCUCCCGCCAGAUCUGCGGGUGAUAGGAAGAAGCUUGGAAAACAACAGGAGAAAAAAAAAGUGCCCCCCACUUCAAGGUGAAGGAUGACCCUAGGGGUGAGGUUAACCAAGGGUGAGAGGUGAGGAUACCCAGGGGUUGGGUGCUAAUCAGGAAUGAGGGGUGAGAUAACCCAUGGUAAGGGGUAGGAGCAGCCAGGGAUAAGGAGUGGGGGUAGCCCAGACUCUUAGAGUUUUAUUACUGUGAACAGACACCAUGACCAGUAUACGUUUUAAAAAAGACAACGUUUAAUUGGGUCUGGCUUACAGGUUCAGAGGUUCAGUCCACCAUCAUCAAGGUGGGAACAGGGCAUCAUCCAGGCAGGCCUGGUGCAGGCAGAACUGAGAGUUCUACAUCUUCAUCUGAAGGUUGCUCGUGGAAGACUGACUUCCAGGCAGCUAGGGUGAAGGACUUAAGCCCACGCCCACAGAGACACACCUAUUUCAACAAGGCUACACAUCACAGUAGUGCCACUCCCUAGGCCAAGCAUAUACAAACCAUCACACCAGGGCUGAGGAGUGGGGGUAGCUCCCACCUGACGGUGGGAGUGAAGGAAGGCUCCAUAACUCAGAUAAGAAGGCUGAUUGCACAACCACCAUGGCUGACUCAGACUUGCUGGCUCUGAUGACCAGUACAAUAAAUCCUCAGUCUGCCUCCUUUCAAGGUAUAUCAUGGUAACAGGGGUCUAUGCUGAAGAGCUCCCUUGGCCAACUUCAGAAAACCAAGGUGAGAUAGCAGGAAGCCGUGACUCUAUCUACAAUCCCGGUGCUCCCACAGCAAAAUGGGAGGCAGAGUAGGAGAAUUCUCUGGAAGCUUGAAUGACUGCUAGCUUGGAAUACACAGCAAGGUGGACACAAGAGACACCCAUCCUCAACAAGGUGGAAGGAGAGAGCCAACUCCCUACAGUUGUUCUCAAACCUCGAUACAAGUGCCCACACACAUCUGUACAGUGGAGAGGACUUGGAGGCUGGGGCAGCUCAAUGCCUGGCAGCAGGGGCUGGGGUGAAACUUGCCUCUCACUGAAUCAGGAAGCAGUGUGCUUGGGAAGAAAUGAGAUGGGCCCUAGUGACCCACCUUGUUCUACAACUCAAAAAAUAAAUUAAGUACAGCCACCACUGAA